rnacentral:rRNA from 1 species
UACGUAGGGUGCAAGCGUUGUCCGGAAUUAUUGGGCGUAAAGAGCUCGUAGGCGGUUUGUCGCGUCUGCUGUGAAAACUCGGGGCUUAACUCCGGGCCUGCAGUGGGUACGGGCAGACUAGAGUGCGGUAGGGGAGACUGGAAUUCCUGGUGUAGCGGUGAAAUGCGCAGAUAUCAGGAGGAACACCGGUGGCGAAGGCGGGUCUCUGGGCCGUAACUGACGCUGAGGAGCGAAAGCAUGGGGAGCGAACAGG